rnacentral:rRNA from 1 species
AUGACGCCCCCCUUCCGCCCGUCCCCCUCCUCCACCGCCCCCGCCCCCCGCGGCUGCGGCGGCGAGCGCUGCGCCUCCGGCCGCGAGGCCUGGCCGCUCCACCACGUCCGCCACAACGACGUCUUCUGCCGCCUCUGCUCCUCCUGCGUCCUCCUCUACCACCCCGCCUCCUUCUGCUCGGCCUGCCUCCUCCUCCUCCACACGGACGCUGCCGCCGCCGCCGCCGCCGCGCAGGACCCCCACUUCGACCCCGCCGUCGCCCCGCCGGGCCCCACCGCCGAGUGCUCCAAUUGCGGCCUCUUCGUCGCCCAUGUCACCUGCAUCCCCGACCCCGUCUCCUUCGUCUGCCCGCCGUGCGCCGCCGAGGCCGAGGGCCGGCCCUUCACCUACGCGCCCGCCGCCCGCCGCGUGAUGGACGAGCGCGCCGCGCGGAUCCUCCUCAUCGCGGCGCGCCUCGCGCACGAGUCCAUCGGCCGCGCUGCCGCUGCCGCCCGCGAGGAGGCGGAGCGCCGCGUCCAGGAGGCGGCCGUCGCGCGGAAGCGCUCGCGGGAAAUGCUGGACGCUGCCUUCCGGGCGCUCGAGGAGGAGGCCAGGGCCGCCAAGAUCAAGGAGGAGGAGGCGGCGGCCAGGGAGGCCAAGAACAAGAAGGAGAAGCCCGCCGCGGCCCAGCCGCCCAAGAAGAAGACCCCUAAGAGCAGCGAGUCGAGCAGGGACAGGGAUAAGAUGCUCAAGUUCAAUGCCAUGCAGCAGCCGGCGCUGGCAUUUGCUGCGGCAGCCGCCGCCGCAGCCAGCUCAUGCGGCAGCUCAAUGCCACCAUUGUCAACCCCACCACCCAAGGAGGACAAGAAGCCGAUGAAACAGGAGGAGCAAGGUUCAACGGACACAGUAGCAGAUGAAGAUGUGAAGGGGUUGUUUGGGACCUUGCAAUCAUAA